ACAAGCCAGCGCCGUGGAGCUGUCUCUUUUUCAUUUCUCAGCCUCACUGGCCAUUCCAGUCCUCAAGAAAUAUUUGCUUGAUGUGACUUCUUGGAACCAAAUGUUGGUACCCAACUGAAAGGGAUGGAGCCCUCCGAACUUGGAAGUUCCGCUGAGGAUGAGGGCGGCCGCCAUUUUGAAACGAACAGACUCCAAAAGCACGCUCCACUGGGCCUGCCCCUGCGAUCUUAAAACAGAUGUCCGUGAAAUGUGACCCAUGAAUAGCAGUUAUCUGGAGAGAGAGCUCUGAAGCUGAUGAAACCAUUAGAGCCACUGAAGGCACCUGGUAAAUGCGAUGCGGGGAGUACAGAAGAGAGAAUCAGAAACACACCGGCACUCUCAUUCCCAUGAGGCCACUUACAGUGGGUAAAACGUCGCUUGAGAAGAGCGGCCUAAAAACAAGAACGUCUGCCCUCUUCCUUCUUAACCAAGACUGAGAUGAGGACAAGUCAGACCCUUCAGACCCAUCGUUUCAGGGACCAGCAGCUCCAGCCUGAAUGAGAAGCACGUCCUCCUGGGAGUUACGUCAGCAGCCUGACCUUCCAUCUUCCUCCUCUAAAGAAGCGUCCCUGCCACCCUGAGCACGAAGCCCUCGGGUUCCUAAAGGCCGAGGCGCUUCUUCUCAUUUACUUCCCUUGAGGAAGAAAGACCAGCCCAUCCACCCUCAUUUCCCACCGAAGGGCAUCGCAAAUAAAGUUUGCCCACGCAACCAGGCCACCACCAUUAAUUUCUCUCUGCCCUGCUCUUACAUUCUCCUCAAGGUUUUCAGUCCCCUAGAGAGGCUCCCUUCCCUCUUUUCUUUCCUUCCUCCAGCCCCCCUUUUCACCUCCCUCCACCAUUGUUUGAGGUUAAGAAGCAUGCUACGGUGUUCUAUAAAUCACUUGGCAAGAGUAGACGACAAAAGCAAAAUAUAAUUCAGAUUAAAGUCAUCCUCCCGCUGAAAUGAUAGUUUCUUAAAUAAAUGGCGAUGCUGCCUAUCAAUCUUGCUGGCAA
rnacentral:lncRNA from 1 species